rnacentral:rRNA from 1 species
AGUGAACGCUGGCGGUAGGCCUAACACAUGCAAGUCGAACGGCAGCACAGUAAGAGCUUGCUCUUACGGGUGGCGAGUGGCGGACGGGUGAGGAAUACAUCGGAAUCUACUUUUUCGUGGGGGAUAACGUAGGGAAACUUACGCUAAUACCGCAUACGACCUACGGGUGAAAGCAGGGGAUCUUCGGACCUUGCGCGAUUGAAUGAGCCGAUGUCGGAUUAGCUAGUUGGCGGGGUAAAGGCCCACCAAGGCGACGAUCCGUAGCUGGUCUGAGAGGAUGAUCAGCCACACUGGAACUGAGACACGGUCCAGACUCCUACGGGAGGGAGCAGUGGGGAAUAUUGGGCAAUGGGCGCAAGCCUGAUCCAGCCAUACCGCGUGGGUGAAAAAGGCCUUCGGGUUGUAAAGCCCUUUUGUUGGGAAAAAAAAGCAGCAGGUUAAUACCCCGCUGUUCUGACGGUACCCAAAGAAUAAGCACCGGCUAACUUCGUG